GUGCACGCCUAGAGUGCUCUCUCAUACAUCAUCCAUCUCACCCCUUUGUGCAUUGCCGCGUGGGAUCCCCUUUUGGCUUUGUCCUGAAGGGGGCCUGCGUUUUUACAUAGACACCCUUUUAAUGCAUGUGUAGAAUGUCUUACUUUUUGCGAUUACACGCAAUCAAUACAACUUUCAACAACGGAUCUCUUGGCUCUCGCAUCGAUGAAGAACGCAGCGAAAUGCGAUACGUAAUGUGAAUUGCAGAAUUCAGUGAAUCAUCGAAUCUUUGAACGCACCUUGUGCCCCUUGGUAUUCCGAGGGGCACACCCGUUUGAGUGUCGUGAACACCCUCAACCUUCUGGGUUUCUUGACCAGGAAGGCUUGGACUUUGGAGGUUUAAACUUGCUGGCCCCUUUUGGAAUCCAGCUCCUCCUAAAUGAAUUGGUGGGGUCCGCUAUUGCUAAUCCUUGACGUGAUAAGUAUUCCUUCUACGUCUUGGGUUUUGCAGUGUCACCUUGGAACCUGCCCUCCAACCGUCUUUGAAUGAAGACAAUGUUCGAGUUACGACUUGACCUUACAGACCUUGACCUCAAAUCGGGUGAGACUACCCGCUGAACUUAAGCAUAUCAAUAA
rnacentral:rRNA from 1 species